CUCAUUCCAUCAAUUUUUCUCUCAACCCAGAUCUCUUAUUCAGAGUAUUUCUCUCCUUAAUUCACCUCCUCGGCGGAAAAUCUGACGAUUUUCGAUGAAAUCUUUCAAACAUUUAUCAUAUUUCGGUAAGUUCCUUCUUCUCUUUCUUGUUUUCAACCUAUUAGAUCGAACAUGCAAGAGCCGAAGCCGACGAUUUUGCCGAUUACAGUUCCCCAAAUAAUUUUUCUGUCGAUUAGGGUUCAUAUUCUCCUGAUUCUUCGAUUACUAUCACAGAUAAGUUUAUGCCCUAAUUCUAUCCUUUCCCCCUUCAAAUUCAAAUUCUUUUAUUCGUAUAUUUUGACUCUUUGUAAUCUAUAUAUAUGGUCCCUUUUGUGAGAUUAUAAGCAGUAUCAUAGCAUCGAGCAAGUCUGAGAAAAAUAAAAACUCAAAGAGUAAGUUGAUUAGGUUUUAUAUUCUGUAUUUCCUUCUAUGACGCUAUGUACUUAGUUAAUGUAGAAGAAAGGGUCAAAUCUAAUAUUGCAUGUCUUUGUUCCUUGUUCUGUGUAGGCUUUUCGCUAUUAAGUUGUAGCAAUCAUCAAGCUUCGGUGCGAGCAAGUUUGAAAAAAACAAAGUAAGUUGAUUAGGUUUUAGACUCUAUUUUGGAAAAUCUAUGAUUCUCAGUACUUAUUUUAUCUAGAAGAUUGUUUCUUGUUCAUGUGUAGUUUUUCUGCUGUUAAGAAGCUCUUGCAAUCAUCAGGUUCGAUUGACUCAACUUUUGAAGUACUCAACAUUGGUUAAGGUAAAUUUACUUUCAAGUCUAAAAGACUACAACUAUGACAUUGUAUGCUACCUGUUCGUUAUCUGCUAUGUAAUUAGAGUAGUUAAAUAGUUAAUUAGCAAUUUAACAUUGUUAAUCUUAUGUGGAAGACUGUUGAUUUGAAAGGUUGUUGAUUUGGAAGUCUUCUUAUAGUAAUCUUCUCUUCUUUUGUGAAUCCUGAAUUCUUUCUGAUCGUGAAUCAUCUCUUCUUCUCUGAUUUUGAAAUCCCCUCUUCUUCUCUGGUUUUUAAAUCCUCUCUGAAUAGUUAAUCUGAUCCUGAAUUCUAUCUUCUUUUCUCAAUCACAAAACUUAUUCAGUGAAGUAAAAGUAACCCUACUGUCUCUACUAUUCUUCUAUUUUUUAUUGCAAAUCGCAAAACAGAAUCAAUGCAAUCCCCUUAAUUUAUCUCUUCUAGACUGCUAUAAUGUGAUGAAAGAGCAGAAUGAAUG
rnacentral:lncRNA from 1 species